rnacentral:rRNA from 1 species
GACGAACGCUGGCGGCGUGCUUAACACAUGCAAGUCGAACGGAAAGGCCCUGCUUUUGUGGGGUGCUCGAGUGGCGAACGGGUGAGUAACACGUGAGUAACCUGCCCUUGACUUUGGGAUAACUUCAGGAAACUGGGGCUAAUACCGGAUAGGAGCUCCUGCUGCAUGGUGGGGGUUGGAAAGUUUCGGCGGUUGGGGAUGGACUCGCGGCUUAUCAGCUUGUUGGUGGGGUAGUGGCUUACCAAGGCUUUGACGGGUAGCCGGCCUGAGAGGGUGACCGGCCACAUUGGGACUGAGAUACGGCCCAGACUCCUACGGGAGGCAGAAGUGGGGAAUAUUGACCAAUGGGCGGAAGCCUGAUGCAGCAACGCCGCGUGCGGGAUGACGGCCUUCGGGUUGUAAACCGAUUUCGCCUGUGACGAAGCGUGAGUGACGGUAAUGUGUAAAGAAGCACCGGCUAACUACGUG